AAUUCUCAAACCUCAACCUUCUUUAUUGAAGGACGAGGCUUUGGAUGUGGGGGUUGCUGGCUUUCGCGAGCCAGCUCUCCUUAAAGUCAUUAGUGGUUACUGUUCUCCACUUUCCGGUGUGAUAAUUAUCUACGCCUUGUGGAGAUGUUAAGUGUAGCUGCUCUCGAACGGUCCAUGUUAAUGUGGACAAUUUUUGAACU
rnacentral:misc_RNA from 1 species